GAAAAUUUCAAGAAGUGAAAAUCCAACAGAAAAUAUUUGAACCCAGGAAUAAAAUAGAAGCCUGGAAGACUGAAGGAUAUUGAGAAAUAUUACCACGCGUGCUGAUGCCUCAGACACACCAAUCUGCAACAAGCAACUAGGAUAAAAAAUAGUUAAAAGUGAAUCAACAUUUAUCUGGAAUAUACAGUCCUGACCCCCUUACGCACUCCCCCCCACCC
ensembl:lncRNA LINC01797 long intergenic non-protein coding RNA 1797